rnacentral:rRNA from 1 species
CAGAACUGUAUGUAGUACUAGCUAGAAGGUACGCUAGGGGUAACAGGUCAAUGAAUAACAUGAGCUCGUAUCGUGUUACUCUAUUGAUACCUCCAUGUCGACUCAUCAUGG